GAUGAAGAACGUAGCGAAAUGCGAUACGUAAUGUGAAUUGCAGAAUUCAGUGAAUCAUCGAAUCUUUGAACGCAUAUUGCGCUCUCUGGUAUUCCGGAGAGCAUGCUUGCUUGAGUAUCAGUAAACACCUCAACUUCCAUAUCUUUUUUGAAAUGGGAGUUGGACUUGAGUGAUCCCAACGCUUUUCCUCACCGAAAAGUGGCGGGUUACUUGAAAUGCAGGUGCAGCUGGACUUUUCUCUGAGCUAUAAGCAUAUCUAUUUAGUCUGCCUAAAAAACAGAUUAUUACCUUUGCUGCAGCUAACAUAAAGGAGAUUAGUUCUUGUGCUGACUGAUGCAGGAUUCACAAAGACAGGCUUCGGCCGACUUUGUAAACUCGAUCUCAAAUCAAGUAAGACUACCCGCUGAACUUAAGCAUAUCAAUAAGCGGAGGA
rnacentral:misc_RNA from 1 species